UACGAAGGGGGCUAGCGUUGCUCGGAAUCACUGGGCGUAAAGCGCACGUAGGCGGCUUUUUAAGUCAGGGGUGAAAUCCUGGAGCUCAACUCCAGAACUGCCUUUGAUACUGAGGAGCUCGAGUCCGGGAGAGGUGAGUGGAACUGCGAGUGUAGAGGUGAAAUUCGUAGAUAUUCGCAAGAACACCAGUGGCGAAGGCGGCGCACUGGCCCGGUACUGACGCUGAGGUGCGAAAGCGUGGGGAGCGAACAGG
rnacentral:rRNA from 1 species